UACAAAAUGUGGGACCGCUUACAAGAAUAAGUACUAUAUGAUGGACACUGGCAUAAAAAGAUACAUUAGCUUGUUUCCUGAGGUAUUUGGGUAGGGGGCUGGACCCCAAAAUACUAAUAUAAAAGAGUAGGAGCACUCAUAGACCACCUAAACACAAUGUGGGAGAUAAGAGGAAGAGUCCCACAUGUUCUUUUACUGGCUUUGAUACAAGGUGUGCUGAGCUUCAGCUUCCGGUCACUCAGCUGCAAAGCGGCAGAUGGACUGUGGGGGACCCUCAGAUCCUGACCUGGUCGGGGCCCAGCAGGCCAUGUUCCCAAGCCACAAUGGCAGGGCAUCGGUGGACAUCAGCAUGGGGACUCUGACCCUGACCUCCAUCACGGUGGUCUACUCAGGGGUCUAUGUGGUCCAGAGCACCAGCCCUCAGCUCACAGCCACCUCAACCCUCACUGUGAUAGGUGAAUCAGAGACAUCAGCCCAGCUCACUAUUAAAAUAGUUAGAUUAGUCAACAACUGAAGGCCCUGUGGGUCUAUACUGCAACUACUGUUAAGAUAGCCUAGCUUCCACCAUGACUUGAAGUGUAAUACAACAAUUCUGCCAGUCUAGAAAUGCUGGUUCAGUUUGAGUGUGCACCUGUGUGUGUUCGGAAAGUAUAUAGACUGCUUGACUUUUUCCACAUUUUGUUACGUUACAGUCUUAUACUAAAUUGUAUUACAUAGUUUUUGUUCAUCAAUCUACACACAAUACACCAUAAUGACAAAGCAAAAACUUUUGCAAAUGUAUUAAAAAUAAAAAACUGAAAUAUGACAUUUACAUAAGUAUUCAGACCCUUUACUCAGUACUUUGUUGAAGCACCACUGGCAGCGAUUACAGCCUCAAUUUUUCUUGGGGAUGGCUCUACAAGCUUGGCAUACCUGUAUUUGCGGAGUUUCUCCCAUUCUUCUCUGCAGAUCCUCUCAAGCGCUGACAGGUUGGAUCGGGAACAAUGCUUGGCAUUCAGGCCAAAGAAUUCAACCUUGGUUGUCCUUCUGGAAGGUUCUCCCAUCUCCAAUCAAUUGAAUUUACCACAGGUGGACUCCAAUCAAGUUGUAGAAACAACUCAACGAUGAUCAAUGGAAACAGGAUGCACCUGAGCUCAAUUUUCUCUCUUCAUGGCACCAACAGAGAUGGUCGCCCCACUUUGAGUUCCUAGGCAAACUAUGCAGUAUUUAGUUUUUACUUUUUUUCUUACAUUGUUACCCCAGGAAAUCUUAAGUCUUAUUACAUACAGCCGGGAAGAACUAUUGGAUAUAAGUGCAUCAUCAACAUUACGACCAGGAAUAUGACUUUCCUGAAGCGGAUCCUCUGUUUGGACCACCACCCAGGACAAUGAAUCUAAUUCCAGUAGUCGACCAAAAACAACGAAGUCGCAGAAGGGGCUGACGAGGCAGCCACCUGACCAGGCUCCGUAGACGUGCACAUCGCCCACCGCUCCCGAGUAUACUACAAGCCAAUGUCCAGUCUCUUGACAACAAAGUAGACGAAAUUUGAGCAAGGGUUGUCUUCCAGAGAGACAUCAGAGAUUGCAACAUUCUCUGUUUUAUGGAAACACGG
ensembl:lncRNA